GAGCCUUGAUGUGUAGGAUAGGUGGGAGGCUUUGAAGUGUGGACGCCAGUCUGCAUGGAGCCGACCUUGAAAUACCACCCUUUAAUGUUUGAUGUUCUAACGUUGACCCGUAAUCCGGGUUGCGGACAGUGUCUGGUGGGUAGUUUGACUGGGGCGGUCUCCUCCUAAAGAGUAACGGAGGAGCACGAAGGUUGGCUAAUCCUGGUCGGACAUCAGGAGGUUAGUGCAAUGGCAUAAGCCAGCUUGACUGCGAGCGUGACGGCGCGAGCAGGUGCGAAAGCAGGUCAUAGUGAUCCGGUGGUUCUGAAUGGAAGGGCCAUCGCUCAACGGAUAAAAGGUACUCCGGGGAUAACAGGCUGAUACCGCCCAAGAGUUCAUAUCGACGGCGGUGUUUGGCACCUCGAUGUCGGCUCAUCACAUCCUGGGGCUGAAGUAGGUCCCAAGGGUAUGGCUGUUCGCCAUUUAAAGUGGUACGCGAGCUGGGUUUAGAACGUCGUGAGACAGUUCGGUCCCUAUCUGCCGUGGGCGCUGGAGAACUGAGGGGGGCUGCUCCUAGUACGAGAGGACCGGAGUGGACGCAUCACUGGUGUUCGGGUUGUCAUGCCAAUGGCACUGCCCGGUAGCUAAAUGCGGAAGAGAUAAGUGCUGAAAGCAUCUAAGCACGAAACUUGCC
rnacentral:rRNA from 1 species